rnacentral:rRNA from 1 species
AUGUGUUGUCCAUGCCCUACAUGUGGGAAUACGAAGUCUUACUCUGACCGGAAAAUCCUUCACACCCACCUGCUUUACAAGGGUUUCAUGCCACACUAUAAUGUUUGGACGAGGCACAGAGAAAUAGGGGUUAUGAUGGAAGACGGCGAAGAAGAAGAGGACGAUGACAACUAUGUGCCCCCUGAAUACGGUGAUGCUGCAACGGGGGAAGCUGCUGAAGAUCAAGAGGAACCAGUGCCCGAUGAUGAUGAUCUCCGCCGGGUCAUUGUCGAUGCAAGGACGCAAUGCGAAAGUCAAAAGGAGAAGCUGAAGUUCGAUCGCAUGUUAGAGGAUCACAAAAAAGGGUUGUACCCCAAUUGCGAAGAUGUCAACACAAAGCUCGGUACCGUACUGGAAUUGCUGCAGUGGAAGGCAGAGAAUGCUGUGCCUGACAAAGGAUUUGAGAAGCUAUUGAAAAUAUUGAAGAAGAAGCUUCCAAAGGAUAACGAAUUGCCCGACAGUACAUACGCAGCAAAGAAGGUCGUAUGCCCUCUAGGAUUGGAGGUGCAGAAGAUACAUGCAUGCCCUAAUGACUGCAUCCUCUACCGCGGUGCGUACAAGGAUCUGAACGCAUGCCCGGUAUGCGGUGCAUUGCGGUAUAAGAUCAGACGAGAUGACCCUGGUGAUGUUGACGGCGAGCCCCCAGGAAGAGGGUUCCUGCGAAGGUGA